rnacentral:rRNA from 1 species
GUGGGGAAUAUUGGACAAUGGGGGGAACCCUGAUCCAGCCAUGCCGCGUGUGUGAAGAAGGCCUUUUGGUUGUAAAGCACUUUAAGCGAGGAGGAGGCUACCGAGAUUAAUACUCUUGGAUAGUGGACGUUACUCGCAGAAUAAGCACCGGCUAACUCUGUGCCAGCAGCCGCGGUAAUACAGAGGGUGCAAGCGUUAAUCGGAUUUACUGGGCGUAAAGCGCGCGUAGGUGGCCAAUUAAGUCAAAUGUGAAAUCCCCGAGCUUAACUUGGGAAUUGCAUUCGAUACUGGUUAGCUAGAGUAUGGGAGAGGAUGGUAGAAUUCCAGGUGUAGCGGUGAAAUGCGUAGAGAUCUGGAGGAAUACCGAUGUCGAAGGCAGCCAUCUGGCCUAAUACUGACACUGAGGUGCGAAAGCAUGGGGAGCAAACAGGAUUAGAAACCCGAGUAGUCC